rnacentral:misc_RNA from 1 species
GAUGAAGAACGCAGUGAAAUGCGAUAAGUAAUGCGAAUUGCAGAAUUCAGUGAGUCAUCGAAUCUUUGAACGCACAUUGCGCCCUGUGGUAUUCCGCAGGGCAUGCCUGUUCGAGCGUCAUUUCAACCCUCAAGCUCUGCUUGGUGUUGGGCCCUGCCCGCUCGCGGCCGGCCCUAAAGACAGUGGCGGUGCCGUCUGGCUCUAAGCGUAGUACAUCUCUCGCUCUGGUGCCCGGCGGUGUCCUGCCAGAACCCCCCAACUCUGUGGUUGACCUCGGAUCAGGUAGGGAUACCCGCUGACCUUAAGCAUAUCAAUAAGCGGAGGA